GGGAUGCGACGUGCUAUACAUGCAGUCGAACGCGCGGAUCAGGAGCUUGCUCCUGUGACGCGAGUGGCGGACGGGUGAGUAACACGUAGGCAACCUGCCCAUCAGACUGGGAUAACCACGGGAAACCGUGGCUAAUACCGGAUAAUCCUUUUCCACACAGGUGGGAAAGUUGAAAGGCGGCUUUUUGUGUGACUGUGGUGUGUGGCUGUGCGGCAUUUUAUGUGUGUGGGGGGAACGCGCCCCCCCAGGGACAAUGUGCAUACGCCCUCUGAGAGGGAGCUCGCACACUGUGACUGUGACACGCGCCCCACACUCCUACGAGAGGCAACAAGAGAAAAUCUUCCAAUGUGCAAAAGAGUGAGACAGAAACGCCCCGCGAGAGAGAAAAAGGUUCUCGUCUCAAAACUCUGUGGUGUCGGAAAAAAACCCCCACGAGAGACUGUGCCCGGCGGGAGACGACCUGUGCCCAAAAACACGCGUAUAUAUACGUCACAACACGCGCGAAUAUACAUAUGGGAAAAGCGAUAUCCAAUAAUAGUGCGCGUAGAGCGCGCAUACGCGUCUCUAUAACUGAGAUGAGAAACCCCGCGUCUCACGCGGAGAGGCAUUGUGAACUGUGGCACUUGUGAGUGCAAAAGAAGAGAGUGAUUUUAUGUGUAUAGCGGAGAUGUGCACAGAGAUGUAGAAGAACCACAGUGGAGAGCGCGUCUCUGUGCUGUGCUGUGACUGUGGUGCGAAAGAGCGUGGAUCUCACACGAGUAUAUAUACUGUGAUACCACGCCGCAUACGAUGAGAGCGAUGUGUGGAUAGGGUGUUCGCGCCUCUUAGCUGCUGCAUAUCGCAUUUAAAACUCCUGCCUGUGGAGUACACGCGCGAGGUGUAGACUCUCAGGAGAUGUCGACGGACACGCACAACAGCUGUGCAUGAUGUGUUAUUAUCUCAAAAACACGAAGAAAAUCAUCACAUAUCGUGAUCUUCUUGAGCACCCCCGUAGAACAACGGGUUUCUUCUCGCGAAAAGACACAUGUUGCAUGAUGGUUCGUCCACAUCUCGUCUCGAGAAGAUUGUGGUUAAGUCCCCAACAAGAGCAAACCCUAUAUCUUAUAUGUCACAAUAUACAUGGGAACUCUAUAGGAACAUGUCGCGGUCACACCGGGGAAAAAAGUGAGGGAAGCCUAAUCUUUUUUGCCCUUAUAUAUUGGUUCAACCUG
rnacentral:rRNA from 1 species